UACGGAGGGGGCCAGCGUUGUUCGGAAUUAUUGGGCGUAAAGGGCGCGUAGGCGGUCGAGUAAGUCUGACGUGAAAUCCCUUGGCUCAACCAAGGAACUGCGUCUUAAACUGCUCGGCUUGAGUCCGGGAGAGGGUAGUGGAAUUCCCAGUGUAGCGGUGAAAUGCGUAGAUAUUGGGAGGAACACCGGUGGCGAAGGCGGCUACCUGGAGCUUUGCUGACGCUGAUGCGCGAAAGCGUGGGGAGCGAUCCGG
rnacentral:rRNA from 1 species